rnacentral:snRNA from 1 species
GGACAAAAGGGCAAUCUGGCUGCAACAUCUGCCACUCCGUUGAUCACCAAGGUUGAUUUGGCUGAUCUGGCUGGUUGGACAGGUAUCCACUUCUACCUGCACCAUUCCAUGUGUAUUUGUCGCAAACCUAACCACUUGGUCAAAGAGGACAGACGAGAAUCAUUCUUCAGUCAAGGGUAUGUGAGUCUCUGUGCUCUUCUACUUAACCCUCUAAACAAACAACAAAACCAAACUCAGUGCCGUCCAGUUGAUUCUGACACAUAGCAACCCUCUAGGGUGGAACAGAACUGCUCUACAAAGUUUCCAAGUAGCACCUGGCGGAUUUG